rnacentral:rRNA from 1 species
UACAGAGGGGGCGAGCGUUAUUCGGAAUUAUUGGGCGUAAAGGGCGCGUAGGCGGCCACCGCAAGUCGACUGUGAAAUCUCCGGGCUUAACCCGGAAAGGUCAGCCGAUACUGCGGGGCUAGAGUGCAGAAGGGGCAACUGGAAUUCUCGGUGUAGCGGUGAAAUGCGUAGAUAUCUGGAGGAACACCGGUGGCGAAGGCGGCAUCCUGGACCGACACUGACGCUGAGGAGCGAAAGCCAGGGGAGCAAACGGG